AUUGAACGCUGGCGGCAUGCCUUACACAUGCAAGUCGAACGGUAACAGGUCUUCGGAUGCUGACGAGUGGCGAACGGGUGAGUAAUACAUCGGAACGUGCCGAGAGUGGGGGAUAACGAAGCGAAAGCUUUGCUAAUACCGCAUACGAUCUCAGGAUGAAAGCAGGGGACCGUAAGGCCUUGCGCUCACGGAGCGGCCGAUGGCAGAUUAGGUAGUUGGUGGGAUAAAAGCUUACCAAGCCGACGAUCUGUAGCUGGUCUGAGAGGACGACCAGCCACACUGGGACUGAGACACGGCCCAGACUCCUACGGGAGGCAGCAGUGGGGAAUUUUGGACAAUGGGCGCAAGCCUGAUCCAGCCAUGCCGCGUGCAGGAUGAAGGCCUUCGGGUUGUAAACUGCUUUUGUACGGAACGAAAAGACUCUGGUUAAUACCUGGGGUCCAUGACGGUACCGUAAGAAUAAGCACCGGCUAACUACGUG
rnacentral:rRNA from 1 species